ACGAAAACGGGAAACAAGGUCGUGAGAAGGAACCGUCACUUCGGUGAAACGACUUUAAUUAAUUACUCGUUAUAUAUUACAUCUAACGGUGUCGGUUCUCACGCUUUAUAACCGUAUUGUCAACUCAGAAGUGUUCCACUUUUCAAGCUAGCAGGUGUUUGGAGACAUGAAUCCAGAAGACGUUGUGAUCAUUCUCAGUGAUGAUGAUGAUGAUGAUGAUGAUGAUGUGUCCAUCAACGACUCGGUCUACAUCGUCGAAGACAUCCAGAACAACGCAGCAGUACAUCAGUCUAACUGCAGCAGGUCACAUGAUCCUGGAGGAGAAGAGGACCUGGUCGUGACCUUCUGUCAGAGAGGAGAGGUGCUGCCUCACGCACGCUAUGACUGUACCUCACACAC